GGUUGCCAAUUUGAAUCUUUUCCAUAUAUCCCCAACGAACAGAAGCUGUUACUGGUUGUGGAUGGUUUGGAUACCUGGGUGAAAUGAGAUGGGUGGCCAAGGCAUUUCAACACAAACCACUACCAUCAUAAUGGGCCCCCUUCUCAGCAGACAGGAUAUGGACUGAACAGGCUACGAAGACUAAACUAAGCCAGAGGCGAUCCCUCCAGAGCAAGUUGAGCUGUACUGGGAAUCCAGCCUUGCUGCUGCCCAUUCCGUGGGAUGUUAGUGUAAGAACGUCAUCCCUUUUCAUUGCAAGAAUUGUCAAUGGUCAACUAUAUGGGAACCAUACAGAACAGUGUUAUCCCACCCUCGAGAAGUUUGCACUAACACAGUAUUUUACGUCUCCAAUCAUGCUGUUUUCACGAAGAACAGAAUAUUACUCUUACUAGACUCCUUUGUAAUCUUUGGGGAGAGAACCUAGCCUUUAGUACGAUCGACUAUGCUCUAACUUUUUUUCUUAAAUUUUAACUUCUGAAAUAGAAUUUAGAAUAACUACAGUUCUCAAAGGUGGUGAAUAACUUUGUGGUAUAAACAUAAACAGAGAGUCUGGCUUUAACAUAUUCAAGCCGUACAUUUUUUGGUUUGUUUAAAAAAAAAAAAAAAAAAAAACACUGUAUCUGUAUUUUAUUACAUGAUUCACUCUGUUUAAACAUGUUUAGUACAAUUUUUGAAAUAGUUGCAAAUCAUAGACCUAUAAAUCCUUACGCCUCUGGAAAACUUCAAAUGGGGAAUUGGGAAUACGAAAAAGGACACACAUCUAACUGGAAGCACAAAGUAGUGAGAGAGAGAUUACUGAUACUUGGAUAAAGCGAACUUCUUUAAAUUUUUAAUGAGAAAUUUGUCAGGAUGAAUAGCAGAAAUACAUCUUUUAGAUAAUUUAUUGCAAUAGGAAGCAAAGAUAUUUAGAAUUUAGAGAAAUGUUUUAGAGAAAUGUUUGCAUGAAGAUAAUUCCAACUGAGAAUGUGUAAAAGGCUCAGGUUAUGCUGCAUUGCCUCAUUCUCCUUACACUGGUUUAACAUCGGCACAGUUCCACUAACUGCAAUGGAUUUACUCCAGUUUUACAUUCAUUUAAGUGAGGAGAGCUGGGCUCGUUACGUAAGAAGAGAGACAAUGCAGCAACAAUAGGAUGGGAGAAUCCAGCAGCUCAGGUCAGCCACUGGCAGUGCUUCAUGCUAAACAAAUCCAGUAUAAAUCCAGUCCUGCAGAAGUUAUUUUGGGUGGGUGUUCAGAGAAAGUGAUGGCUUGAUCCAGUUUUCUUAAUCAAAUCACCAUGGUUUGGAAGUCCAAGACUGUUUUAAUAUUUUAGUAGCUGACUAAACCUUAUAAUGAUAGGACGUUGCUGCACUGUUCAGAGUUGGCUACAAAGAAUCCCUGUUGAUGUCUUAAAUACUUGUGCCAGUACUGUAAAGCAAUAUACCAAAGUGUCCUCUUACUAUACAACACAUCUUGACAUCAGAUUCUAAGCCUUCUUCUGUGCUGCACGUAAGAAUAGCUUCUUUAGUGUGGAUGAAAGCAUGACACUGGUAGACUAGAAGCUGUAUUUGAGAGGAGUAAGAAAAGGAGGUGCCAGCGUGACAUGUAACCUAAACGUGUUCAGGCAGGUACUUCCACUGGCUUCGGCAUCAAGCUAGAUUUUGAGGUGGGAAUAGUCUGAGCUCCAAGUUGUCUGUUCAGCACACACACUGCCAGCUGUGCUGAAUUGCUUGUGAGGUUUAAGAUGCAUAUUGCUAACUAUAAGGAUUGAAGUAAGACACUCACUUUGCUGAGGACUUGCCUGUAUAUAUCUGCCAACUAAUACUGAUAGCACCGAUAUUGUAUAUCUCUGUGUUUAAAUUCUAUGAGUUGAGAGGUUAUGAAUAAACUGAUUAGAGGGGCAAACAGUGGGUCGGCUUACUCUUGUUUGGGACAAUCCACUGGGUGGGAGGACAGAGUAUAACUUUCUAUGAGAUGAUCUCUUUUUAAAAACAAAACUUAGUUUAAAGUUGUUUGUUUUACUGUUCAUUGUGAUCUUUUUGGCUUUGUGUGGAAUAAGUGGAGGACAGCUGAUGAGUUGAGUUCUUUAAAUUUUACAGACCUAAAGAAUUUCUCCAUACCAAGAAAUGAACACAAUACAUCUUUAGUAAAAUUGAGAGACUGCUCAUGUAAAUAGCUUGUGUUCUAUUGACUAAAAAUUAGUACGUAGUGCUAAGGGUACUGGAGAAAUUAGGUGCACAUGCAGGCAACAUUUUCUGACUGGAAUCAAACGCAUUUGAGCCCAAUUCUAAUCAUGCUUCAGUUUCACCCUUGUGGGAUUCCAUUGACUUCAGUGGAGUUACAGUGGUAUGAGAUCAGAAUCAGGCCCAUUAUAAAAGAUGGUGGGAUCAAGGAUGUAAAAUGGACAUAAUAUAGUUGACAAGCAGUGGUUUGUCUUGGUUGAAGACAUCCUGGAGAAAUGCAUAUGCUUCUAGUGUUGACUUGCUGAACAUCAUCAUAGUGGUGAGAUUGCUGCUGUAGCUGAGAGCCAGCAUUGCUGUUCAAAAGUCAGAGGAAAAGUUUGUGGAUACCAUCUGGAGAGGUGGCUCUGCCAAAGAACGUGUCUAGAAUGCAUAGAGUAGGAGACGGUGGGGAUGGAACACUGGGCAGAAGAGGAAGGUCUGACUCAAAUGACUCUCAAGAUAUCUGGGCAAGCAUAGUGGAGGUAGUGACAGAAGUGUCAAACCAUCAAGGCGUAUUGAAAUUCACCCUAGCUUGUGAUGGGGGAAAGAAAAGGAUCAUGAGUACAUAAUGCAAACACUCACCAUUCCCACCUCCACUUGUUGAACGUGUGGUAUGGUGUUUUUUUCAGGUGCAGUGUGUAUAAUAAGUGCUAUAUGAAAAUGGCACAAGUCUUAAAAUACUUGUUUCUGGCCUCUUAUUCUGUAUGCAGGCAGAUGGCCCCUGGGAGAAAGUAGCUGUAAGUUGGCAGAAGAGGUAAAACUUGACUGUGUGGGCUUUUUAGUAAAUUUAAUUCCCUGCCUUAGUGUUCUAAAGGACAGAUGCCAAAGACAUAUUUUAUCUUAGAAAGGAAACAUACCCAAGAGCAGCUGAUAUUGUGCCAGAGCAUGUGAUUGAGAGUAUGUAGACAGAAAAAUCCAGGACCAGAUGGGAUCCAACUCAGGAUCCUGAAGGAAGCAGAAAUUGGGGGCAUACCUGAUGGAUUGGAGAGUAGAAGGAAAGCAUGUUUUAGGCACGUCCAGGGAACUAACGUCCAUUAAAACAGAAGGAUGAUAAACAUGGACUCCCAAAAGGAAGAACGUGGGUAGUAAAUCCAGUAGAGCUUUUCAAGGAUGUAACCAAGAGUGACCUGGUGAAACUAUGAACCUAGUAAGUGCUGCAGAACUAUUUGAGUAGAUAAUUAAUUGGCCAUUGUAGACCAAUCAUAAUUCCAUGUGGAAGCGUUUUUGAGAAAGGGAUAGCCAAAGCUUGGGGGAGUGAUUUUCGUUAGUGAUCUGGAAGAAGGAAACAUGUAGUGAGAUGACAAUUGGCUGAGGAUAUAAAAAGGGCAGCACCAAUCUUUCUUUUGAAGCGCAAAAGACAUUCAGAAGAAUGUUGUCUUUGUUAGGCAAGUGAUCUGGACAAUACAGUGUGGAGAAUGUAAGCUGAUAGUGAAAGACCAAAAUAAUAAAAAUAGAAUAUCUACUCUAUAUACAGCAGAACACUGAGUAGGCAGAGGAGCUGGGGUUAAUUUUUAAUGCAAUUCAAAACUUAUUUUAUGUUUUAUUAAACAUCAGAGUUCAGGAGGGCUUAAGUGAGCACCUGUAGGUUAGAGGAAGUGACUUCAUGCAGUUCCUUCAACAGCACUUGAGAAUGGAUUUGGGAUAGUCUGUAUAGAUCCGGUUACCCAGGCAGCACAGGGGAAUUUUAGAACUCGCAGGAUAACCAAAAUGAAAGAUACAGGGAUUUGAGUCCCAAAUUAUUUCAAAGAUUUAGAAACUAGGUCUGUGUUCUUUAGAAAAGAAGUUAGAGGGGUUCGGGGAGGAGUAUGAAUCUGUAAAGAAUGCAAGAAUAGAUAGCUCACUUCAACGUUUGCAAGAUUCAAGAUCAGAAAGGGUCUGGCUACUAAAGAGGGGAAUUCCUAUACACAAAAAUCACACAUUUGUAAAUGGUGCAUCUUUACACUGUUAAUAACUAGUGCAAACUUGCAUUCUCCAAAGACUUGUUUGUAAGUAUCACUGCUUCUUCUAAGGUGAGAAGAGAGAUGUGCAUUGGCUAAUAGGUUUCUUCUAUCCACACAUUUUUGGUGUUCCUAAUCCACAUCUGAAACUUUGCCUCCAGAUGGGGUUUUGCCGAAGGGCUUUAAGUUAGGUAUUUUCUGAAGGUAAUGAACCAAUUUUUAGAAAUGGCGUGUCUGGAAAUAAAUGGCCUUUCACCAAGGUUUCAAAUUAUAGCAAGACUUUGUAUGUUAAACAGUUUAAAAAAAGAAAAAAAAAAAAAAUCCCAGAGGCCUGAUUCUGCAGGGGUUUGACAAAAAGCCUAAAUGAGCCACAGGUUAAAAUGGCCCUGUAUGCUGGCGCAUCUUACUGAAACCACAUAUUUCAGAAGCCUGGGAAGAUAAUGAUGGUGUUGACAGCAGUAUGUCCCAUUCCUGUAUGGAAUUGGAAUGCAGUGUGUGAAUCCUGGCCCUGAGAUUAGUCAUACCACUGAAAUAGAUACUAAGCAGCAGAUGAAAUUCAUCCCUUUCAUAUGAAGACUGUAUAAAGUUCCAAUAAGCAUAAAUCACUGUCUUUCUCCAGCACACCCAGGCUUGGUGACACAUUUUCAAGGCACUUUUCUCCUUUGGGUUUUUUAAUUCCCAUAGGAAGAUCGGUUAUAAAAACCCAGUUGUGAGUAGGUCCGACACAUGUCUGCAACUAGCAUUAAGAGCACAAUAUGACUGGCUUUUAACAUACAGGCCCUGACUGUUGGAAAUAUUGUAAGCAAACAGACACACGUUUUUAUGUAUAUAAAACGGGUACAUGUCGUUAAUUGCUCAAGUAUUGUGGCUACAGAACUUGCUCCAUAAAAGACAGAAGUUUCUUCAUUUUCAGAGAGCCUUCGAGGGUCAUCUUUGCCUCCGAACUGACAAUAAUACUACAUUUCUGUGAAGGUGGCUGUGUGUUCCAGAGACUCUAAGAAAUUUUCCGGAGUGGGUUGUCUUUCCAGCUUUUUAGGACAUUGCUGUAGAGUUCAGUUAAGUUCAUUGACCUUUAUCUUUUCAAAUAGGAGACAACUUAUAGCUCUUCCUUGGGUGUGUGUGUUUUUUGGU